ensembl:lncRNA
UGAACAAGUGCAUUUAAGAAUGAAAAUAAAACUUUAUCACUGAAAUGAUAAUAUAAUAUUGCAACAGGUUAGAACCUUGCAAUAGCCAAAUAAUGUUUCUGAAAACUUUGUGUCAUUUAGGAAAGAGGAAGGGAUUAAGAUUGGCUCUAGGGUGGGGAAGAGUUACCAGAUGACUGGGAAAGGACUGCUGAAGUGAUGAGAGAAAGUGCCAAGAAGGUAUUUGGUGUAUCCUCUGGACAGAGGAAAGACGAUAAGGAGACGUGGUGAUGGAAUGAGGAAGUACAGGAAAGUAUUCAAAGGAAGAGGUUAGAAAAGAAAAAGUGGGAUACCCAGGAAAUAUACACUAGUAAUUGAAGUUAAGAUGUACAACAAAGAGAGAUGUGGCAAAGGGUUAUAGUGAGUUUGAGUGAUUUUGAAAGGAUGUGCAGCAGGUUAGGGUGAUUAAGGGUAGAAAUAGAAAUGUGCUAAGAAGAUAGGACUACUCUGAGAAGCUCAUGAAAGAAGAAAAUAAGAGAGAGAGACGAAGAUGCCCAGAAGUAUAUGGUUUGUGCGACAGCUGCCACGUUAUUUUUUUAUUUUUUUAUUUUUUUAUUUAAUGUUUAUUUAACCAGAAAUAAAUAAAACUCUGCUUGCUCAUAGGGGGUCAUCUGAUUGUUGGGGUUUCUGUCUAAUAUUGGAAGGUCUUUGCCUAACAAGAUUACGUCCCUUGGGGCGUCUGUUGUUGUGUUUUUGCACUAUAUAAAUAAAAUUGAAAUAAAUUGAAUUCUAACCAUUCAAACAGCAUGCUGAAGUAUCCUGGGGCAUGAUACUGUUCUCAAAGUUGCACCAGAUGCAUCUAUCAAAGUGUGAGUGUGUGCAUGUUAGGCUGAAAGCACUUAGCCAUAGAAAGAAAAUGCGUUGGAAAUGGGUGAAUGAGGCUUCCAGUAAGACAGCCCUGUGAAUGCUCAAAUUAAGUAGAAAAGCAUUAUAUAAGUACCAGCACAUUUACCAGUUAGCUUUGAGGGAUGGUUAGAAUGGUGUCUUUGCCACGAUUUUUAUAUCUUUUUCAAAACCUUCCUAUUCACUUGCCACUUAAACUUUUUUAAGCAGCUUGAUUCAUUGAUUCACUCAUUCAUUUGGGCAGGAAAACCCCCUCGGAUAUCCAUGGCUCAUCUUCAAAAAAAAACACUUCCUGCGGGGGGUUAGGUCUCCCUGUGUUUAGACAUUAUUAUUGGGCAGCAAAUUCAAGAGCUCUAUUGCACUGGCAGUGGGGUUUGCCUAUUGAUUAUUGUCAUGACAAGCUUCCGAUCUGGCUCCAGGUAGAGGCAGCAACAGUAUCUGAAGCCUCAUUACCGGUCUUAUUGUUUUCUAACACGGGUUCUUUUAACAAUUCGCUCAGUCGUAAUUUU